AGGUGGGGGAGGCAAUCUGAAAAAUUGUCAAACAAUUAACAAUUUUAAAUAAUGUAUAAGAAACUAAAUUACAAAUAGUAAAUUAAAAAAUAUAAAUUAAAUAUAAAUUAAAAAACACUGAAUAAGAAAAGGUCAAUUGAUAAAAACAAAAAUUAUUUAUAUCAUGCAUUUGUUUAUAUCCAUACAGAGCAGUUCUGCAUAAAAUACGUGUACGACAUGCACGUUAUGCUUGAAACGUACACACGCAUGACAAAUUUGUAUAAUUAAUAUUAAUUUUAUUUCAUGUAUAAGCAUUCAUGGAUAACUUUUAAUGAAAAAUUUAUUCAAAUGCAAGAAAUGAAAUGCAAUAUUUAACGGAAUGCAGGAAGUGAAGCAAUAUUACAGUAGGGAAAAUAGCAUUGUAAUUAUAAAACGUAGGUAAAGGUUAGGAGUAAAGUUCUAUGGUUUCUGGCAAAAGUCGCUAGUCAUUGUGGAUAAAACGUUAUAUUAUUAUAAAACGAUCGAGAAGAAUAAAAAUAAUAUAACAUCAUGAAACGCAUUUCGGUAAAAGCAUAUAAAAUAUUAUAAUAUAUUUUUCGCGUCUAAGAUAUAUCGAUAGUUAUGUAGAAAUACAAGCUAUUAAAAACCUGAGCAUUGCAAUUCGAUUAUCUGAAAAAAAAAGCAAAAGGGUGGAAGAUUCAUUAUCAACGGAAUGAAAUUUCGAGAAUCAAUAAAGCCGUCUUUACAACAUGGCGGUGUUUCGAAAGCCACGGGGCGGUAUUCGAGUUGUUUUCUCGAAUAUCUCUUACUCUUUUCAUGAUAAUAACAAUGAGAAGGAAUUUCAGGAUCGAGAAACACAAUCAAAGAACAUUUUAUGUGAAUUUUUAUGUACUUACUGGCCUUCUUGAGUCAUAUUUCGAGAGCUUCGUUCCGUAAGAAGCAAACAAA